UGCAAGUCGAGCGGAUGACGGGAGCUUGCUCCUUGAUUCAGCGGCGGACGGGUGAGUAAUGCCUAGGAAUCUGCCUGGUAGUGGGGGACAACGUUUCGAAAGGAACGCUAAUACCGCAUACGUCCUACGGGAGAAAGCAGGGGACCUUCGGGCCUUGCGCUAUCAGAUGAGCCUAGGUCGGAUUAGCUAGUUGGUGAGGUAAUGGCUCACCAAGGCGACGAUCCGUAACUGGUCUGAGAGGAUGAUCAGUCACACUGGAACUGAGACACGGUCCAGACUCCUACGGGAGGCAGCAGUGGGGAAUAUUGGACAAUGGGCGAAAGCCUGAUCCAGCCAUGCCGCGUGUGUGAAGAAGGUCUUCGGAUUGUAAAGCACUUUAAGUUGGGAGGAAGGGCAGUAAGCUAAUACCUUUCUGUUUUGACGUUACCGACAGAAUAAGCACCGGCUAACUCUGUGCCAGCAGCCGCGGUAAUACAGAGGGUGCAAGCGUUAAUCGGAAUUACUGGGCGUAAAGCGCGCGUAGGUGGUUCGUUAAGUUGGAUGUGAAAGCCCCGGGCUCAACCUGGGAACUGCAUCCAAAACUGGCGAGCUAGAGUACGGUAGAGGGUGGUGGAAUUUCCUGUGUAGCGGUGAAAUGCGUAGAUAUAGGAAGGAACACCAGUGGCGAAGGCGACCACCUGGACUGAUACUGACACUGAGGUGCGAAAGCGUGGGGAGCAAACAGGAUUAGAUACCCUGGUAGUCCACGCCGUAAACGAUGUCAACUAGCCGUUGGAAUCCUUGAGAUUUUAGUGGCGCAGCUAACGCAUUAAGUUGACCGCCUGGGGAGUACGGCCGCAAGGUUAAAACUCAAAUGAAUUGACGG
rnacentral:rRNA from 1 species